GGACAUAAACAUUGCAUACCUUCUUCAAGUGUGGAUGAUAUUAGGGUGUCAUCAAGUGUCGAUGUCUACUCCCCUGUUGCAAGCUCUUCAACCCUUCGAUCCACAACUAGCAUGUGUUUUAGUAAGAUAAAUGGCACUGAACAUAGAGUCUUCCAACAUUACCAGGUGCAAAACUUGGUAAGAAUGACCCAAAAUAAACAUGGCACUGAAACAUGGCAAAACUCCGAGCAGAGGUGUUUUCAAACAAGUAUAUAUCAGUGUAAUAAUCAGAAGGUGUUUUCAAACAAGUAUAUCAGUGUAAUAAUCAGAAAGCUGAAUUACACUGGGUAUAGAGAAAGCACAUGA